GCCACGUCCACAGGAAAUCAAAUAUUAAAACUGCUAAAUUACUAAAUUGUGUAGGCACAUAGUUAAAUCACCUGGGUGGAAGUAAAGUCCACAGCAAGUGGAGGAGAUGCUACGCACCCACUGCUGCCUGCUGGUCUCCUUUUCAAAGAGGUUCCUACAUCUGUUAAGCUUAUGGCUUCAGGUGAUGCCUGGGAGCUUGAUCUUAUGGUGCACACCUGCAACCUGUUCUGCUGUCCUAGUGGUUUUAAGGAACAAUCAGCAGUUUUAGUUCUUUACACCAGCUGUAGGGUCCUAUGCUGGGAGGAACAAUUUUAGCCAGAUUUAGGCACCCUGCCUAGUUUUGAGUGACUUACAGGGACUUUGGGUUUGGGAAAAUUCUGGAAGGGGUAUGAGCAUGCUGGAGUGAGUGCAGCACGAGGCUGGAGAGCUUUCUGCUACCUAAGUACAUGGCAGCUUGAGCCAGGUAUGAAUGGUGACUUUCUUAGGCUAGUGUCACUUGGACUUUUGCCAUUGAUUUCUGUGCAG